ACUGCGACACUGACCAGACUCCUACGGGAGGCUGCAGUAGGGAAUAUUGGGCAAUGGACGUAAGUAUGACCCAGCCAUGCCGCGUACAGGAAGAAGGCCUUAUGGGUCGUAAACUGCUUUUAUACAGGAAAAAAAUUUAUCACGUGUGAUAAGCUGAUGGUACUGUAUGAAUAAGGAUCGGCUAACUCCGUGCCAGCAGCCGCGGUAAUACGGAGGAUCCAAGCGUUAUCCGGAUUCAUUGGGUUUAAAGGGUGCGUAGGCGGAAUAAUAAGUCAGUGGUGAAAUCUUAUAGCUUAACUGUAAAACUGCCAUUGAUACUGUUGUUCUUGAGUACAAUUGAAGUGGGUGGAAUGUAUCAUGUAGCGGUGAAAUGCUUAGAUAUGAUACAGAACACCAAUUGCGAAGGCAACUCACUAAAUUGUAACUGACGCUAAUGCACGAAAGCGUGGGGAGCAAACAGGAUUAGAUACCCUGGUAGUCCACGCUGUAAACGAUGAUUACUCGAUGUUGGCGAUACACUGUCAGCGUCUGAGCGAAAGCAUUAA
rnacentral:rRNA from 1 species